CUCUCCUUUUCUUUUACUACGUGGUUCCGUUUCUUCCGCUUUUUUUUCUUCCUACUUCCCUUUUUCUCCUUUUUCUUCCUCUUCCCCCUGCGCUCC
rnacentral:rRNA from 1 species